UCCCUUCGUUUGAAAGGACAGAACGGUGCACGUCUUCAUUUGGAAGAUUCAUCAUCGAAAGAUGGAGAAACACUAUGGUGUUUAUGGAUUCAAGAUUAAGUGAUGUUUCAUAAGUGGACGAUGAUGAUCUUCAACAACUUCUACUCCUCCUUCCUAUGGGUUUUCUUUCUCGCACCCCAUCAUUGGAAAGGAUAGUACCGCAUACGUCUUGAUUUGGAAGAUUCACAACCAAAAGAUGGAGAAACGCUAUGGUGUUUAUGGAUUCAGGAUUCAGUGAUGUUUCAUAGGUGGAGACGAUGAUGAUCUUCAACAACUUCUACUGCUACUUCCUAUGGUUGAGUUCUACUGGCAUUUCCGAAUUCCAAUGGAUAUCUAUACGAAGUAAAUGGAUGACGUAGUCACAGCUAAAGGGAUACAAACAAUAAAAGAUUGGAACCGGGGUUUGGAGACUUGAGUGCUAUCUUGAAGCUAGGUUUCUAAGGAGCUAAGGAGUUGAAGAUCUUGGUGAGUCCUCAUAGCUACUAGGACAAACCAACCAUUUCCUUUAUGUAUUUAUUUCAUAUUUUUGAGACUAUUGUAUGGUUGUGUUCCAAGAGUUCAAUCUACAGUAUAUUAGAUGGUUUGAGACAAAGAAAGAAAGACUUCCGCUUGAUUUUUAUGAAAAUGACUU